rnacentral:lncRNA from 1 species
UUUACACUGAAAUUCUACUCAUAUUUUCUCUAAAAUCUUUGAAAUCUGUUCUUUUCCCAGGUACAAAUCACAUUAUGCCUGGAUUUCCUCUCAACAUCUUCACAGAGGGAAAGAAACUGAAGAACAGGGUAUAUUAGUGCCUGACCAAAGAGUGAAUGAUUGUGUAUUUUGGAUGGUGAGGUUGGAGGAAAGUUUAUACUCCUUGGGCAGGGCUGCUGCUAUGUCAUACCAGCUAUCCAAGCUCCUCAGGAAGAUAAGAAGUUAAUGGAACCCAAAGAUUCAGAGUUGCCUUUCUCCAGAAGCAAAGCUGUCAGGAUUUUGUACAGGUGAGAACAGGUAACCUCUGUGAGGGCAUGAUUGCAAAACCAGAAAAUGUUCU